rnacentral:sRNA from 1 species
GUCGCUGCCAAUUCAGCGACCGGGUUUAGCAGCCCGUCCAAAGAUCAAGGUGCAAUCAGCGCCCAUUCUCGAUCAACAGGCGCUUUUUUU